CCGCAAGUUUCUUAUGAGUACGUGAGACAGACGUUUUUAGCCACGUUUUUCUUACGAUCGUUGAAGAGACAACAGCUGAAACUUCCGUCCUUGGUCGAAGUCUUUUUGUUUAGGAAUACAAGAGGCCUUUUUUAUUCUGCUUUAACUCUCGCUAAUUUUUAUAGCUCUUUUGUACAACCAAAUACUUUUUUGGGGGUAAUGUGUCCUGAAAUCAUCACUAUGAAGAAAAGCUACCAGAAGGACAUCAAGACCGCGCCUGAUCAUAAACAGAAAUGGUCAAAAUCAAAGAAAAGGACAAUUCUUCAAGCAAAAGUCGACGAAAGAAGGGUACGCGUCCGGGCCUGGUCAUCCAGGAGACCGCAGCUCAGCCCAGGCCGUGUCGAAAGAGCAGCUGCGGGCGAUCAGAGAUUUGUACCGUCUGUAGCCAUGGCACCAAGAAACACCACGCAGUACUUAAUGGACAUUGAGUAUGCAGAGCGGCUAGAUGUUUCGAUAGAGGAGUGUGGUGUGAGUCGUACGCCAUUUAAUGAAAGGCAUUUCUCAUCGUCGGACUCUGAUUACGAAAGAUCGCUGGACUUCCAGCAGCGAGACUUCGAGGAGCUGUUCUUCAGGAAUGAAAUCUGAGGUGUUUCCCCUGAAACCUGACUUGAUCUCGUCGGAAAGAGAAGACCGGGCAGCUGUGAACGCAUAGACCGUAAUAUCAUUGCGCAGACUCCAACUCGGGGAGACGGAACGCUCUGCGUCACAGCUGCGCGAUGACGUGUAAGCCACGCCCACCAGCACGUGGCCAGCAGGUAAACCCGCUCCACUCAUUGUGUACGCGGUGUAAGAGCGUUUGCAGUCACAUACUGUCGCAGUGUAAUUUGUGAGAAGUGUGCAUGCAUUGUUCUGCCAACGGAUGCAUGUGUGUUUUGAGAGACUUUUACAGGUUGCCGACCUUCCUCGAUGGAUCUAAGCGGUCUGUGCAACCCACUCAGAGCCUUGGGACAAAGCCACAUGGCUGCCUGGUCACCACUGCUGGGUAACUGUGGUAAUACUUGAAUGUGAAUUGACAAGUGCACUCAGAGCUCCUGUAGUAUGAGUUAUAUUUUGAGAAAUAAUUUGUAAAUAUUGAUUGUAUUAAAUGCCUAAGCUUGUGUUUACUAUUAAAACUUAAAUCUGA